rnacentral:rRNA from 1 species
AUUGAACGCUGGCGGCAUGCCUAAUACAUGCAAGUCGAACGAACACAGGAAGAACCUUGCUUCUUUGUUGACGAGUCGCGGACGGGUGAGAAAUGUCUAGGAAACAGCCUGAUGGAUGGGAAUAAUUACUGAAAACGGAAGCUAAUCCCGCAUAACGUUUCAAGCCCAAAGAGGAGAACCUUCGGGCCUCUUUGCAUCGGAUGUGCCCAGAUGGGAUUAGCUAGUAGGUGGGGUAACGGCUCACCUAGGCGACGAUCCCUAGCUGGUCUGAGAGGAUGACCCGCAACACUGGAGCUGAGACACGGUCCAGACUCCUAAGGGAGGCAGCAGUGGGGAAUAUUGCGCAAUGGGCGGAAGCCUGAUGGAGCCAUGCCGCGUGUAUGAAGAAGGGCUUCGGGUCGUAAAGUACUUUCAGCGGGGAGGAAGAGAGUAAUGUUAAUACCUUUGCACAUUGACGUUACCCGAAGAAGAAGCACCGGCUAACUCCGUG